AGCGAACGCUGGCGGCAGGCCUAACACAUGCAAGUCGAACGAACUCUUCGGAGUUAGUGGCGGACGGGUGAGUAACACGUGGGAACGUGCCUUUAUGUUCGGAAUAACUCAGGGAAACUUGUGCUAAUACCGAAUGUGCCCUUCUGGGGAAAGAUUUAUCGCCUUUAGAGCGGCCCGCGUCUGAUUAGCUAGUUGGUGAGGUAAAGGCUCACCAAGGCGACGAUCAGUAGCUGGUCUGAGAGGAUGAUCAGCCACAUUGGGACUGAGACACGGCCCAAACUCCUACGGGAGGCAGCAGUGGGGAAUCUUGCGCAAUGGGCGAAAGCAUGACGCAGCCAUGCCGCGUGAAUGAUGAAGGUCUUAGGAUUGUAAAAUUCUUUCACCGGGGACGAUAAUGACGGUACCCGGAGAAGAAGCCCCGGCUAACUUCGUG
rnacentral:rRNA from 1 species